GAUGAACGCUGGCGGCGUGCCUAAUACAUGCAAGUCGAGCGAACAGACGCGGCGCUUGCUCCUCUGACGUUAGCGGCGGGCGGGUGUGUAACACGUGGAUCACCUACCUAUAUGUCUGGGAUCAUUUCGGGAAACGGGAGAUAAUCCCGGAUAAUAUAUUGAACCGUAUGGUUCAAUAGUGAAGGACGGUUUUGCUGUCACUUCUCGAUGGUUCCCCGCCGCAUUAGCUGGUUGGUAAGUUACAGGGUUACCAAGGGAACGAUGCGUAGACGACCUGUGAGGCGGAUCGGCCACAUUGGAGCUUGGACACGGUCCAUGCUCCUGAGGGAGGCACCAGUAGGGAAUCGUCCGCAAUAGUCGAAAGCCUGACGGAGCGACGCCGCGUGAGUGAUGAAGGUCUUCGGAUCGUAAAACUCUGUUAUUAGGGAAGAACAAAUGUGUAAUUAACUAUGCACGUCUUGACGGUACCUAAUCAGAAAGCCACGGCUAACUACGUG
rnacentral:rRNA from 1 species